AUUGAACGCUGGCGGCAUGCCUUACACAUGCAAGUCGAACGGCAGCACGGGUGCUUGCACCUGGUGGCGAGUGGCGAACGGGUGAGUAAUAUAUCGGAACGUACCUUAUUGUGGGGGAUAACGCAGCGAAAGCCGUGCUAAUACCGCAUAAUCCCUAAGGGGGAAAGCGGGGGACCGUAAGGCCUCGCGCAAUUAGAGCGGCCGAUACCUGAUUAGCUAGUUGGUGAGGUAAAGGCUCACCAAGGCAACGAUCAGUAGCUGGUCUGAGAGGACGAUCAGCCACACUGGGACAGAGACACGGCCCAGACUCCUACGGGAGGCAGCAGUGGGGAAUUUUGGACAAUGGGGCAACCCUGAUCCAGCAAUGCCGCGUGAGUGAAGAAGGCCUUCGGGUUGUAAAGCUCUUUUGUCAGGGAAGAAACAGCAGCUCUAACACAGUUUGCGAAUGACGGUACCUGAAGAAUAAGCACCGGCUAACUACGUGCCAGCCGCCGCCGUAA
rnacentral:rRNA from 1 species